rnacentral:rRNA from 1 species
CCCCUAGACGUUCUGGGCUGCACGCGCGCUACGAUAAUACGCACAGCGAGUAUCACCGAGCUCGAAAGGGCAAGGUAAACAAUAGAAAAGGUACUGUAAUGGUUAUAGAUCCUUGUAAUUAUUGAUCUUCAACGAGGAAUUCCUAGUAAGUAUGUGUCAUCAUCACGCACUGAUUACGUCCCUGCCCUUUGUACACACCGCCCGUCGCUCCUACCGAUUGGGUGAGCCGAUGAAACUCUCGGAUGUAGGCUAUUCAUAGCCCGCAGAAGAGAUUUGAAUCGUAGCGCUUAGAGGAAGGAGAAGUCGUAACA